CCUUCCCCAGCUCCGUUCCCUUCUCUGGCCAAGCUCCAGCCCCUCAAUGUCCCUCCUGGACUGAGGCACCCUGAACUGGACACAGCUCUCGAGUGACCUCAGCAGUGCCCUGCUGCCACACACCGGGAUGAAGGGGUUGGAGCUGAGGGGAGCCAUGAGGGCUGUGGGAUGAAGCCCUCCCAAGCAGAGCAAUUUCAGGGAGCUCAGGGGUUUGUGAGGGAUGUGUUGUACCUCCAGACCGGGAUGCAGCUGACUUCGGGGCUGUUUGCUGGGCUUCCUAUUGUUGCAGAAGGGCCCCGUGAGGUGAGGCUGUGAUGGGACACGUCCUUGGGAGUGUCCCUGUGUUUUCCCAGCACACCCAUAGCCUUCCUUCUGCCUCCUUUGCAGGUGCCCGGUAGCCCCAGGCUGUCACCUUUCCGAGGCAGUGAUGCUUUGUCAGCAUGACUCCUCCAUGACUCCAUCUCCCUUUUGGUCACACAGCUCUGUAAGCUGGCUGUUCAUAUUCUUUCACACACAUCGCCUUUUUGUGGUCUCUUGAGGAAAAAAAUAUUUUUUUUACCCUAAAAUGCAGAAUAAAAUGGUCAUGUGCUGUUGAAUGUACUCUUGAGUGCCACUGCAGCAGUGAGUGGUAUAAUGAGUUGAGAUCUGUUUUGGGUCCUGGUGUAAGUUUGUUUCAUAAAUUAAGGCAAAUAGUUUGCAUUCCCAUGGUUUUCCUUUUUAUUAUGAGAAGGGAUUAGUAAUUCUGCAAAACCUGUUAAGUUACUGGUGCUGAAAAACAAUGAGAUCAGCUCUAUGUAAAUAGACAAAUGAAGCGUUCUUUAAUAGCACAGAGCACAAGUCAUCAUUAUUUUAAAAUUCAUCCUAAAAACUGAGAAAAAUACACUCUUAUGGCUUCAUAACUGACUGAAGUAGAUCUGAAUUUCAUUCUGUGUACCCUGCUAGAUGUUUAUUCUGCAGGCGGUGUAGAUUUCAGCUUGUUUCGUACUAAUGGCUUUCACAUAUGUAUGAGUUAGGCAGGUUUUGCUACCUGUAUGUGCCAGCUGUAGAGUGGCUCUAAAAUGUGGUACAGUAGGCUGAAUAAAGUGGCACGCCCCUGAUUCACCUUGAUUUAUGAAAUGUAGCAGGUGUGGCAAAAUACAGGCCUGUAAAAGAGGAAAAAAAAACAUCUCCAGGUGAGCUAGAUAAGAGUUCUUGCAGCUACUCACGUGUUACGUGUCAAGUUCAAGUCAAGGUCCUUGGGUGUUUUUUUUUUCUCUGAGUCUCUUUUUGGUUAUACAAAUUCAGCUUUGUGAAUAUGCACAUGACAUCUGAUCAUGUGGAGGAGAGGUAUGUGUCCUUUAUAAAUUGCUUUGUUGUAUUGCCUUAAAAGUAUUUGUUACUCAGAGUGAACUAGAACUCCAGGGAAUGUGUAACAGAGCAAGUUCAAUAUUUUGACCAAUUUCAUCCAUUUACAAUUGAAUUCUUGUUAAAAUCUUUAUGCACAGAUGUAGACAACUUUUAAGCAUUGAGGCUCUUUUGCCAGCCUACUUUUGCAGCACACUCAUUCAGCUAUUCACUAAAAGGUGUGAGUAAUCUCUUGUUUACCCUUGCCCACGUGCUUUGAAAACCAUUUGCAGUAUUCAUGUAUUCACGAGCCCAGCCUAAUGUGGUGUGCCCAGUUUGACACAUCAUACAGGCAGUGCACCACAGCAGCUCUGAACUGGUCUAGCCAAUAUGUAUCUAAUGAGUGUAAUACAGCUUUUGGUUCCAUUUACAGUGCUUGGCUACAAUAAAUGGGUGAGUUAUAUGUAUGCUUACAUUAAGAGGAGUAAAACUGGUCAAUAUACAUUUCAUGAAACCAUAAAAGAGUAAGAGCUGUUAAGCUUCAUUAGACCUUAAGCUUUUAGUGCCCAUUUAAUCCAAAGCAUUGCUUGUGUAUGGAGGCUACAAACAAAAAGAGCUCUUAACCUUGCUGUUUCUCAAACUGUGUGGAAGGAGAUUCCUAAGGCUGCAUGACAGGGUGAUACAGAGGACUGUAGUGUCUCUGCUUUCUUUAUUUCAGUUACCAGAGCCUCCACUGAAAACAGGCUUGAAAUUGGGUUGCUGAGCUUUUCAAGGGUGCUUAGUUUCAGAGAUAUACAGGGUUGUUGAAAUGAUGCCAAAUUUUAAAGGCAAACAAAAACGUUUUUCUUGAAGCAGUUAGGCAGAUAAAAAGUUGGUAUUUCUUAGGCUCUCAGGUAUUCCGAUGGAGUUUCUGACCAUGGCCUUAAAGAUCAAAUCAAGUAAAAUUUUAAAAAUGAACUGGAAGACCAGGAAUAAAGGGCUUUGAAUCAUCCAAACAGGGAAUAAUUAGGCUCUGCAGCAGGUAAAGCAGGUUUUCAAAUGUGUGUUGACAAUGACUCCUGGUAUUUUUAACAACUAAAAGCUGUUGAUAACAGCUGAUGAGAAUUGAGUGUCCUGUGUAAAGUGGUUUUCUAUUGUUUGUCUGGUUCCCAGUGGAGAAAUGUCUGUUAUAUGCAGAGUGAAGUUUAUGGAUGGGUUUGCUUUAAAUAUGUUUUUUAUGCAACCAGCAGCAAAGGAAAUCUGGGUGAAGGUGAAUCAUCAUUACUACAGGGGGGUCCUGGAUUCAUGAACCAGUCCCUCAAGACUGAAGAAUCCGGAUCAGUUUUAGCAGAGCAACAGAUGGAUAUCUGGAUGCCUGUUUCAAAGAUGUGCUGACUCCUGUGUGAAAUGUGUCAUCCUCAACAUCUACCAAACCACUGUCUACUGAAAUAAUUCUUUGGUGUGUUUGUUUUCCUUACUGCAGUAGAAAUAGAUACAGAUAAAGGAACAAAAUGUGGGAUAAAGUUUUGUCCUUUAAAGUUUAGUGCAGGAUUGGCAGUGGAUAGAGGAUUACUGUUGAUGAACUGUAUAGAGAUGAGGUGCUGCUAACAACAAAAAAUAAAAGCUGAGUCUGGAAAUGGUGCAGGAGUUUGUUUGUGGUUGAUUUCAUCCAGGCAUUGAGUAUGGCCAGGAUUGAAAACAAAGUGGUAUGAAUUUAUUGCAAGUAUCUUUUAAUAUGUCUCUAAACCAUGACCAGUUUGUCUCCCAGAGCCCACGCUAUAGUUUUGAUAAUGUCCUUGAACUGCAUGUUUCAAAGUUUUGGAAUUUUUGGAGCUUUAUGAAGGAAAAAAGUUGUUGGUGUUUUUUUUUUUGUUGUUGUUGGUUUUUUUUUUUUGUAAAACCAACAUCCUGAAUGGCCAGGAACAUUCAUGAUUUUGCAUUGAGUGGACUUAAGUGCAAAUGAAGGGUCUGAUCCAGGAUGCUAAGAUCCUUCAGUUUCUGAGGGACAGUCAACUUUGUUUAUCAUAAUUCAGUUUCAGGUUUGGCUGUUUCCAAGAACUCUCAGUGUUUAAAUAUUCAGAGUUUUUUUUGCAUGUCUUCUGUCUCAAAAAAGGUACUUUAGAGCAAGCAACUGAAGGACCUCAAUUUCUUUAGGCUAUGAGGAAUGAUUUACAGGCUCUUUGCAUAAAGCAUGCAAGUAUCUUCAUCAAGGACAAAUAAAACUGAAGGACUCCUUUAGUAAACCAUUAUAAUUAUAGGAAUAACUGAAAAUGACCAGAGGAAUUCCAGUAGAAGCAGAUUGCUGUUUCUAAACAGGGCUGUGAACCACUGAAGCUACUUGUGGCACUGAUGGAUGGGUUGAAGUUUACAAUAUUAUGGAAUGUCUAGAAUAUGUGCAAAUUAUUGCUUCAAUAAAGGUGUACCCAGGUAGAACUCUUGGGAAUCCGUACUAAAUAGUGUAAUGUGGGGUUUUGCCUCUGAUUCUUAAUCUCUGAGAAUAUGUGAAGUAUUCUGUCAAGAUAUUCUUGUUACUCUUCAUUCUUGCUACCCUUCUCUUCCGCUCUGGAGGUGAGGGAUAACUGACUAGAAAUUCAGGAAUUUCUUUAUAAGUCAGUCUUCUGCUUGUCAUUUUAAAAUUGGUGCAAGGUAGAGGUGCUGAUUUCUGUUGGGGUUUCAGGGUGAACUGCUAAAGUUUCAAUAGUUGCUUCAGCGGUCUGAGUGUGUCAGAGCCCUUAUCCUUCAGAUAAAUCAAAUUGCUCUAAGCAAACAACUUAAACACUAAUAAAUGUCUCUGUAUGUUUGAGCUGCUGAACGGAGCUCUGUGUGUCUCUGCAGAAUGAACCAGGCAGUUGUCUGGGUUUCUAGCCUCAGUUUUGAUGUCCGUUUUUGGGCUUCUAAAUGUAGAUGAAUAGCUUCCUUGCUGUCUAAACAGACACAUCUAUUGUAGGGAGUUCUGAUAACUGGGCUGUAUUAAAGACCAUCUUAAUCUCCUUUUGAUGUAAUUAUUUCCAUCUCUUUUUAUGAUGUACUUUGAGGUGCUCCUCACUGUCCAGUGGACUGUAGAAAGAAUCAAUGAUUUGCUUAUUCCAGGUGCUGAACACUAACAAAACGCUAGUGACCAGCAUCACCAAUGGCUCACGAGGGUCCAACGGUCAGUGACACAACUUGGAUUACAGAAUUAGCAGCAGAAGGAGAGACGUUCCAUUUCAUUGGACACUUAAUGAUAAUUUUCAUUGCUCUUGGAGAGAGGCAGAGGAAAGAAGAACUUGGAUAACUCACAAUAAAGAAACCCACAUCAACUCUUACUUAUUUUAAAAUAAUACCUUAUACUCUUA